CAGAGAUUCAUGGAUUUGCAGGAUUGAGCCAGAUCUGGAAACUUCACCACACAAUGCCUGGUGUGACAUCAUCAACUGUCGUCACUCUGGCUGUCUCAACAGUCCUUGGUAGACUUGGCACAGCAUUUGAGAGGUGUGUGGAUGACUCUAAGCCACUUUUGCUCUACCAAAAUUCUUGGGCUGUCUAUGGUCCUACCUGGAACCCAGGUGAGGAUCACAUGGACACAGGAACAGAGCUGGAACAAGACACCAUGACAGCUGGGACUGACGAGAACACAGGAUACAACAGGAUGGGUCUUUAGGUGGAACAGAUAGUUCAGGAAUAUAAAAGAACUUGUUAACAACAGCAACGUGUGUACCAUGCAAGAUGCAACUGUGAUACAUCUCCAUAUUACCAGCUUUAUGAUCUUGCAGGACUUCCUUUUCCCAGAUGCAUUUGCAAAUGUUUGUUUUACAUUUAUACAAUCCAGUGAAAAGAAUGAUCCUGAAACAAAAUGAUGAAGUGAACCUAUCUAAGCAGUCAAUUGCAAAGGGGGAAUGGUUUAUACACAGAACAGUCUGUCCAGGAUGCUAUCAGUCCACACCAUCUGUAUUCAUUACAGCUAUUUAAUUAUUUUCUCAAAAACACAUACAAAUUAUUUCAAGGA